CGAAGGUAGCAUAAUCAGUAGUCUUUUAAUUGAAGGCUGGUAUGAAUGGUUGGAUGAAAUAUUAACUGUUUCAUUUAAAUUUUUUAUAGAAUUUUAUUUUUUAGUUAAAAAGCUAAAAUUUUUUUAAAAGACGAGAAGACCCUAUAAAUCUUUAUAUUUUAUUUUUAUUAAUUAUUUAGGUAAAUUUAAUUAUUAAAAAUUAAAAUAUUUUAUUGGGGUGAUAUUAAAAUUUAAUAAACUUUUAAUUUUUAAAUACAUAAAUUUAUGAUUUUAUGAUCCAUUAUUAAUGAUUAAAAAAUUAAGUUACUUUAGGGAUAACAGCGUAAUUUUUUUGGAGAGUUCAUAUCGAUAAAAAAGAUUGCGACCUCGA
rnacentral:rRNA from 1 species